ACACAUGCAAGUCGAGCGGUAAGGCCCUUCGGGGUACACGAGCGGCGAACGGGUGAGUAACACGUGAGCAACCUGCCCCUGACUCCGGGAUAAGCGGUGGAAACGCCGUCUAAUACCGGAUAUGACCAGCCACCUCAUGGUCGNGUGGAAAGUUUUAUCGGUCAGGGAUGGGCUCGCGGCCUAUCAGCUUGUUGGUGGGGUAACGGCCUACCAAGGCAUUACGCGGUAGCCGNCCUGAGAGGACGACCGGCCACACUGGGACUGAGACACUGCCCAGACUCNUGCGGGAGGCAGCAGUAGGGAAUAUUGCACAAUGGCGAAAGCCUGAUGCAGCGACGCCGCGUGGGGGAUGACGGCUUCGGGUUGUAAACCUCUUUUACCACCANAGCAGGCUCCAACGUUUNNGUGGGGUUGACGGUAGGUGGGGAAUAAGGACCGGCUAACUACGUGCCAGCAGCCGCGGUAAUACGUAGGGUCCGAGCGUUGUCCGGAAUUAUUGGGCGUAAAGAGCUCGUAGGCGGCAUGUCGCGUCUGCUGUGAAAGACCGGGGCUUAACUCCGGUUCNGCAGUGGAUACGGGCAUGCUAGAGGUAGGUAGGGGAAACUGGAAUUCCUGGUGUAGCGGUGAAAUGCGCAGAUAUCAGGAGGAACACCGGUGGCGAAGGCGGGUUUCUGGGCCUUACCUGACGCUGAGGAGCGAAAGCAUGGGGAGCGAACAGGAUUAGAUACCCUGGUAGUCCAUGCCGUAAACGUUGGGCGCUAGGUGUGGGGACUUUCCACGGUUUCCGCGCCGUNNNNNAACGCAUUAAGCGCCCGCCUGGGGAGUACGGCGCAAGGCUAAAACUCAAAGGAAUUGACGGGGGCCGCACAAGCGGCGGAGCAUGUUGCUUAAUUCGAGCAACGCGAAGAACCUUACCAAGGUUUGACAUCACCCGUGGACCUGUAGAGAUNCAGGGUCAUUUAGUUGGUGGGUGACAGGUGGUGCAUGGCUGUCGUCAGCUCGUGUCGUGAGAUGUUGGGUUAAGUCCCGCAACGAGCGCAACCCUUGUUCUAUGUUGCCAGCACGUCAUGGUGGGACUCAUAGGAGACUGCCGGGGUCAACUCGGAGGAAGGUGGGGACGACGUCAAGUCAUCAUGCCCCUUAUGUCUUGGGCUGCAAACAUGCUACAAUGGCCGGUACAAUGGGCGUGCGAUACCGUAAGGUGGAGCGAAUCCCUUAAAGCCGGUCUCAGUUCGGAUUGGGGUCUGCAACUCGACCCCAUGAAGGUGGAGUCGCUAGUAAUCGCGGAUCAGCAACGCCGCGGUGAAUACGUUCCCGGGCCUUGUACACACCGCCCGUCACGUCAUGAAAGUCGGCAACACCCGAA
rnacentral:rRNA from 1 species